rnacentral:rRNA from 1 species
UACGUAGGGGGGCAAGCGUUGUCCGGAUUUAUUGGGGCGUAAAGAGCGUGUAGGCGGUUAGGUAGGUCCGUUGUGAAAACUCGAGGCUCAACCUCGAGACGCCGAUGGAAACCAUCUGACUAGAGUCCGGAAGAGGAGAGUGGAAUUCCUGGUGUAGCGGUGAAAUGCGCAGAUAUCAGGAAGAACACCCGUGGCUAAGGCGGCUCUCUAGUACGUGACUGACGCUGAGACGCGAAAGCGUGGGGGAGCGAACAGG